rnacentral:rRNA from 1 species
CGAAUCUUGAUGAAAGUCGAGAGUGCCUUCGGGAGCGUAGAGACAGUUGGUGCAUGGCUGUCGUCAGUUCGUGUCGUGAGAUGUUGGCUUAAGUCCCGCAACGAGCGCAACCCACGUUUUUAGUUGCCAUCAUUAAGUUGGGCACUCUAGAGAGACUGCCGGUGACAAACCGGAGGAAGGUGUGGAUGACGUCAAGUCAUCAUGCCCCUUACACCCUGGGCUACACACGUACUACAAUGCAUUGGACAAAGGGCAGCGAGUCAGUGAUGGCGAGCAAAUCUCAGAAACCAAUGCACAGUUCAGAUUGUAGGCUGCAACUCGCCUACAUGAAGGAGGAAUCGCUAGUAAUCGCAGGUCAGCAUACUGCGGUGAAUACGUUCCCGGGCCUUGUACACACCGCCCGUCACACCAUGGAAGUUGGUUUCGCCCGAAGUCGUUACUCCAACCAUUCGUGGAGGAGGACGCCGAAGGCAGGGCUGAUGACUGGGGUG